GACGAACGCUGGCGGCGUGCCUAAUACAUGCAAGUAGAACGCAGUUGCGAACGGGUGAGUAACGCGUAGGUAACUGCCUCAUAGCGGGGGAUAACUAUUGGAAACGAUAGCUAAUACCGCAUACUGUGAGAUGGACCUGCGUUGUAUUAGCUAGUUGGUGAGGUAAAGGCUCACCAAGGCGACGAUACAUAGCCGACCUGAGAGGGUGAGCGGCCAAACUGGGACUGGGACACCGGCCAGACUCCUACGGGAGGCAGGAGUAGGGGAUCCUCGGCAAAUGAAGGAAGUCUGACCGGGCAACGCCGGCUGAGUGAAGAAGGGUUUCGGAUCCGAAAGCUCUGUUGUUAGAGAAACGGUAACUAACCAGAAAGUGACGGCUAACUACGUGCCAGCAGCCGCGGUAAUAC
rnacentral:rRNA from 1 species